CCUGAAAAAAAUUGCAUGCAAGAUUUAUAGUUUGCUUAAUUUUGCUUUCUCUGUUUCAGUCAUUAUCAUUGCCUAUAGCAAGAACCAUAGAUGAGAAGAGACUAACUACAGCUACAAAUUCUUCAGUAAAUUAUCUGAAUGAAUGUACUGUCUUGCAGUGUUUCAACUGUACAGGUUCUGUGAAACUACUUGUAGGAAUUUGCCUCUUCCAAUAAAAACAUACUUCCUGUACUUUCUCUGGAAGUAGUUCACCUGAGUUGAAAUAGCACAGUAAUGUCAGAAAACAACCUCUCUGUAUAUAGCCCAGCAUGAAGGAAGCCAUGCAUGCUGUGGGAGGACAAGAGAAAAUGGACAUAAAUUGAAACAUCAGGUUCCAACUUUGACGUAAGGAAAACCUUUUCUCCUUCAGAUAUGGCAGUAUUGUAACAGGUUGUCCAGAAAAGUCAUACAUUCUCCAUUGUUGGAGGUUUUCAGGACCCA
rnacentral:lncRNA from 1 species